rnacentral:lncRNA from 1 species
CUUGUUGCCCAGGCUGGAGUGCAAUGGUGUGAUCUCGGCUCACUGCAACCUCUGCCUCUCGGGUUCAAGCGAUUCUCCUGCCUCAGUCUCCCAAGUAGCUGAGAUUACAGGCAUGUGCCACCACACCCAGCUAAUUUUACAUAUUUUUUUUAGUAGAGACAGGGUUUCUCCAUGUUGGUCAGGCUGGUCUCGAACUCCUGACCUCAGGUGAUCUGCCCACCUUGGCCUCCCAAAGUGCUGGGAUUACAAGCAUGAGCCACUGCACCUGGCCUUGACUUCACUUUUUAAGUAUUUAGGUACAUGCUGGAUGUGUCAUACAUAUUUUUAUUCUCUGUGUCCCCAGGAAUAAAUGAAUACAUUUGAUUUCCUUUAAUAGAAUAAGAAUUUAAAUAAACCACAGAGGCUCUUUAUACUUAAAAACUCUGGGGUAAAUUUUCUUGCAAUAUUCAAACUGUUUUUCAGUCUUUGUUUGUUUUGCUUUUUAUUGUGAUUUCCGAUUUUUAAAAUUAUUAUAUUUUUGAAGGCAGGAUGCCCAUACUGUGAAAUUAACAGGUUACAUAUGUGCAGUAUUGAUACACUUCCCCUUUAACAAAAUUUAAUUCACUAAUCACAUGCAUUUCUAAAGCCCUUUGAAAAUGUGUGUCAUGCUUAUGGGUGGCCACAUUCCAGAGGGCUGAAUAUGUGCUAGAAAAGGAGAGGAGGCUUGGGGGUGGGGAGAAAACCCUUACAAGGCAAGAGAACUGAGCAUGUGCAAGACUCCUUACUAAACGAAGGAGGGCAGAGGAGUGCCGUUUUGGAAAUAUCAAGGGGAAUGAAAAGAGAAAGAGAAUUGACGGGAGAGAGAGGAAUCUGCCCACACUCAGGGGAUCAUCCAGAAUUCACAGAUGAACAGGGUGCACUCAAGGAAGACUGCCCCUCCAUCAGAGCACCACCCCUCAGUGACUGCUGACGUGUAAGACACUUCCAGCAUCUUUUUACCAGGCCCCACCCUUGGGGAUGCCCAGACCAAGAUAUCACUCUUUGCACUAAGUGACUCCUGAGAUACCAGCCCUUUACCUGACUUACAUUCUGUCAUCCUGCAUCAGAAUUGUUUCGAAUUUUUAGAGGUAUUGUGUUAUAAUGGUGUUCAAUGAAGUUGGAAGAAUUCUGGCUCUGCUGCUUAGAAACUGGCAAGUUACCUGAUUUCUUGGGACCUCCAUUCUCUCAUCUGUAAAUUAGGACUAAUAAUACCUACAAUGCAGGAUAUUUGUUAGGAUUACACAUUAGUUGGUACUCAAUAAAUGGCAGCUAUUGAAAAGCAGUGUAGUAUGGUGGUUAAAAGCAUGGAGUCUGGAUCUAGACAGAGGUUGAAUCCUUGCUUUGUUACCUACUGUCUGUGUGACUGAUUUUCUAUGUGUCUCAUUUUCCUAAUCUAUCAAGUGGGGAUAAUAAUGGCACAGUUUCUAUCUCGUAGAGUUGAUGAAGAGAUAUGAUGGUUAUAAUUCAGAGUCUGUCAGAUAAAAAGCAUUUAGUAGAUGGAAGUAGCAGUGGUAGUAUCAACAGCAGGAGUAGUAAUAAUUGUUGUUGUUAUUAUUAUUACAAAAUAUACAGUGCAAGGCAACAGUUAAGACUGUGUGCUGUGGUGCUGAACCACUUGGAUUCACAUCCUGGUUCUACUCCUUUCCAGUUUUGUGAUCUCACAGUCUCCAUUCCCUCAUCCUUAACCUGGGAAUAAUAAUAGUAUUGCCUUCAUAGGAUUUAAUGAAUUAAUAUAUGUAAAUUACUUCGAACCUGAUAAUAAACAAUAAAUAGUAAACAAUAAAUUUUAGCCAGAACAGUGAUGGUAAACAAUAAAUAGUAAACAAUAAAGGUUAGCCAUUAUAUUCCCAAAUUUCAAUCAGCUAUUGCUCCAGGAUUUAGGCAUUUCUGUGGGUAGUUUUAAAGUUUGAUAUCUUAUACAAUUAAAUCAAAUGUAUGUAUUAUGUGGUGAUUAACCUGUAUACCAGUUCCCUGGGAAAUAAACGGGCUUUCAGCCAUAAAAGGUUUUCAGCUGGGUCCCCGCUGACCAUCUCUUCAGUUUCUAUGUGUAUAGCAGAUGGUGGACUGCAUUUUUUUAAAGUAUUGCUUCUAAAGGGAAGACUAUAAAGUUCUUAGAAAAAUAAAAUGCUCUAAUUACAAGAGAAUGCCAUUGUCUCGGCUGUCUCACCCCACAUCUUAAUGACCGAUACUGUGGAAUAUGACACAAAGGGAAGAGAUCUCAUAAUUAGGCACAUUGGAGAAUCUCCUCGUGUGCUACAGACUGUGAUUUCCAGUGACACACCAAAAGCCAGCCACUAUAAAUCCCUUUUUACUUUUCUCUCUGGCUGUACUGCAGUAACAGCACAAGUCGUUCGUUCAGAUACCGGAAAGGCUUACAGUCCAGGAAACUUUUUUUUCUUGUCUCCAGCCAAUAAUCUUGUAGCAUGGUGAUGUCACCCCACAGUUAUGCAAUAUGACUUAACUGUUGGAUAGGUGACAGGAAUUCCA